UAAAUUUGUUAGUCUCUACGGUGCCACAAGUACUCCUUUUCUUUUAACUAACUACCGGAAUUUAAUUAAAUAAUGCACUGUGGAUAGCAGUGGGAGAGAUAAUGUAAGCCUCAAACAAACAGUACUGGAAUGUGCUGGACUUUUCUCCUGAAUUUGGUUCUUUCAUACUUAUAGCUGUAGACACAGAAGAAAGAUAACCAUGGAACUACAUGAUAUUAUUGGAGAAAGAUGGUGCUAAAUGAUGCCCUUUUAUCCUCGGAUUGUGGCAUUCCUUCAGUGUGGCAAGCUGCAGGUGACCAUGCAGAGCUC